GAGAGGGCUCAUUUCCACAGCAGACAAUGAACAGGUGACCUUCCAGCUGCAGCUCCUGGCGUGAGCCUCAGUGUCUUCCUGGUUUCAGGCUCUGCCCCUUCACGUAACUACUCAUCCUCUAAAGCCCCCCACCCCCUACCCGGUAGAAGUCUUUUUUACCAUGCCUACCGAUUCACAGAUGGUCUAAUUGGGAGGUUUUAGUUCUGUGCUCCUGGCCCCUCAGCUGAUAAACUCCAGCUGUAUUGAGUCAUCCACUCCUACACUAUACCCUGACCUUCUGUCGGACGGACUUACACAGCCUCUGUACCAAAACAAUCAGACUACCCUAGGCAGCAUGCUCCUGUGCUUUCACUUUCUUGAUGAUUCUAGCAGCAAUUAGAUAAACAUACAAUGCAUACAUUGUAACAAUAAGUCUUUCGCCCUGCUGCCCAAGUUACACAGAGACUUACAUUAGGUACAAAUGCUGCUUGGCCAAUGACUAGGAUUCUUAUCUGUUAGCUCAGUCUUAAUUAUCAUAAAUCUAUAUAUUCUAUAAGACUUAUGGGAUGUCAGAGGCAAGCGCCCUGUCUUCCUGGGCUCACAUGGUGACUCUGUGCUUUUUCCUACCUUUCCCAGAAUCCUCCUUGCCUCCUAGUCCCACCUACCUUGUUUCCCUAUUGGCCAACAGUACUUUAUUUAUCAACCAAUAAGACAAUCAUAUACACAGGACCUCCUCCACCAAUACAUAGUUCAUAUGUCAUAUGCAUAUUAUACAGAAUUUAUAUAUGUACCAGGGCUUUUCUUUUGGGCCACCGACCAUGAAAGGUUCAGGCUUUUGAUGCUGAUCGGCUCUACCUCUUUAAGAGACAGACCCCGCCCCCUGACAAUACUCAGGGCAUGCGCAAGAAAACGUGCUACAUCAUCACCACGUCACCGGUCACCCAUGAUGACUCUGGACAUGCGUGGACCCUCAGUGUGCAGAAGAGGACCUUGCCCUGGGCUGGAAGCAACCACCCUUAAAUGCAGAAAUGAGGUUGAGCUCACUCUGGGGUCUAGCAGCCGGAAUGCCCUCUUGCUGAGAUUCAGAACAGAUGAAUCAACCCCACAGCAGCCCUCUGAGGACAAGGCCACAGCAGGGCUCCUUCAGUGCUACCCCACCCCCAGCUUGGUGAACAGUGGAGAACUCUGCCUGCCAGAAGGGCUGGGAGGAUUUAUGCAACAGACUGCACAUAUUUAA
rnacentral:lncRNA from 1 species